UACAGUCAUACAAUGGUGAAACACCGAUUCCCGUACGAUCACCGUAGUUAAGCAAUGUCGAGCCUGGUCAAUACUUUGAUGGGUGACCGGUUGGGAAUACCAGGUGAUGUAA